rnacentral:sRNA from 1 species
UCUCUCUCUCUCUCUCUCUCUCUCUCUCUCUCUCUCUCUCUCUCUCUCUCUCCCUAUUACCCAUCUUAAUAAGGACAGUUGCAGGAAUGAAACACAUCUGUAUUUGCUUCUGUCUCCUGAGACAGUUUUACAUAUGCUUUGCUUAAUGGAAGCUCCCCCAUGGUCGAAAUUAUUUCCCAUUCGCUGUCACUUCCCUGUGCCAGAGUUGAUUUUUUCUGACAAGUUUCACUGUUAACACUGCAGCCCAGAUGUUUCCAUGGCAGCGAGUUUGCAGGGGCUACAGAACCAACCAUCCUUUCCACGGGCACACUGGUAUUUAAAGUGAUAAUCCCAAGAGCGAGUUUUCAAAUCUCUCUUAGGCUUCUGUGGCAGUUGUCUGUUUGUUCAUUUGUUCAGUUGUUGUUGUUGUUGUUGUUGUUAUGGUUUGGUUUUUUUUUUAUUGGCCUGGUGAAUUACAAUCCUGUAUAAAUAAUAAACACUUAUUUUAAAUUAUGGUUUGAUGGUUUCUUUUUACUCAAUAAAGGUUAAAAUUGAGAAAGAGGAAAAGAAACAGAGGAAUAAAAUCAGAGAGAAAGGGAGAGGAGGCAAGAAUCCUGAUGAGGAGUGGAGGGGGCACGAAAGAGAGGCCGACUUACUGCCCUUUGUUGUUAAUGAAAAUAAAUGUAAAGCUCUACUCCUUUCUCAGUAUUAAGACACUUGAUCAUUACAGCAUCCCUCAUUCCCAUCAGCUUUCAGCUCUCCUCGCAGCAUGCCUAGGAGAUUUGAACUUCUUCCAGGGAAGAAAUCCAAUCAAGAUGUAACUGCCAAGGUCACACAGGAGGGAAUGUUCUCAGCAAAGACAGGGAAGAGCAAGAUCAGUCUCCCUAGGACAUCUGCUCCGUCUGCGUCUGCCUCCUCAGCACUUUUCCUCUCACAGUCGAGGGUUCACACAGAGAGGAGGACGCAGGAGCAACAGCCCCGCGGAGCUGGGCAUGCGCACACGCAGGUAACUGUUGCUAUCCUCGCAACUCUCAGGAAACUCGGCCUGAACCAUAUUUCCUAGUGAAGUCGGAAGCUCUCAUUAGGCUGUAGGGUGAUUAGCAUAAAUGGACAUUGAUUUAGGUCCAAAUGGAAAUGCCUUUCUCAUACCUGAUGCCUGCUGUUCAAGGAAUAGCUGCUGAAGAGUAUAUGUGAGGAAACUGAAUCAAAGACAUACUACAGAAACCUACGUCUUUAAGUGGCAUUUUAUGGCAUUAAACCUUAAUGAGAAAAGCAUUGAACAGAAGAGGAGUUAAGCUUAUUAAGUUCACUUUGUUUUUUGCUCUAUUUUUCUUGUUAUAAAGAGAUCCAAGAUUCAAAGCCAGGACAACAAAGGAGCUCUCAUUCCUCUUUAUGGGGUAAUAUGUUUGUUUUGUUCACUCUAAAUUGGGCUUAAAUUAGGCCUCAGAAGGAGGGAAUUCAUUAAAAUCCGGAGCUGCAGUGCUGGCAAGUUACCUUCUGAAAGGCCAGUAGUGUUGCUCUUGAUAUAGCUCAAAAGAGAAGAAACAAACCCUCAAACAAGAUUGUUGUCCCACUCACAGCCAAUUUAUAAUCUUUUCCUCAGAAGGUAAAAUUAGAAAGAUGAAGACAUUGAUUCCUAAUGGGCACUUUCCCCUCUGCACACACGCAUAGGCAUAUACAGGGUAUGUGUCUCUCUAAUAAUUUUAUAAAGAUAUAAACAUAGAAACCCACAAAUACAUAUGCAUGUUAUGAAAUUGAUAACAUUUAAUGCAUAGAUUUGCGUUUUGCUCUUUUCCACCCAAUCUUACAGUUCCGUUGCUUUUCACCACUGAAUGUAUUCCAUGGAAAGCCUGUUUGCUGGCUCUAAAUAAUGUCCUAUCCUAGGCUAGUCACAAACCGCCAUUGACUUAAGAGUUUCUUCUCACCGUCUGCCGAGAUGGUGCCCGUUUUUCCCAUUUUGUGAGAAGGAGCUACUGCCCCGAGAUAGUUUUGACAGCGGAUAUCUCUUUAAGCUUUUAGCAGUGGGGUUUUCAGAGUGACAUUCAUUUUGAAGCCUUUAGAGCUCUUAUUGUGAAACACCCCCCACACCCAUGGAGCUUGUCACUGUGGCCCCAGCAAAGUCAUAGCUGGGUGGAAGGGAGUUUGGACGACAGAGGGCUUUCAGAAGAGAUGUUGGCCCUCACACUGCAUCCCACUUCAAUCCCCUCACCUGCAGCAUGGAGAAAGGCAGAGGAUGUUGUCUUCUCUACUCAAGAAGUGGCUUUUCCUGGACACUCAGAGGACUUCAUAUGUAUACCCUGGAGUUGGGGAUCCAGUGAUAUGGACUCUAAACUUAUGUUUCGUGUAGUUAAGAACGGAGGACAGAAAGUGGGAGUUCCUGGCUGUGAUUAAACAGAAACCUGUCUCACCAACAGUGGAUCUCUAAAAACGGUUUCUCCUGGGACCAAGGAAGGAUUCUCUGAUUAAGUGGAACGUCUAGCAGUACAAGAUUUGUCAAGAAGGAUGCUGGAAGUGGGUGACUUGAUUCUCAGGCACCGAGAGAAGAGCCUGGUUAACUUUAAAGAGUUCAUCCUGUCCUCAGAAUUAGGAACUUCUCAAAGAACCCCAAUAAGUAGUUCCCUUAAACAUCUGGACCAGAGUGAUAACAGUUACCAACAAAAUAA